UCGGCGGCUGGCAGGCUACAGGGAGGUUCGGAAACCCUCCGGUGGGAACCAGGAGUUUCUGGUCAAAGGCUGUUCCGCGCCUUCAGGGUCAGUCCUCGCUGCAUCCCUGUUCACCUUCUUCUCUCUCGGUCUCCAGGCACUUAGGGCAGCCUCACUCGCUAGCCCGCUGGGCGCCGCCACGGGUCUGGGGCCCCAGGGCGGGGACGGGGAGAAGACAGCCGAUUGUUGAAGAGAGCUUUACUCCUGUGGCAACCCCGCCACCAUCCCGGCUACUGCUGCUGGUUCAUGACAGCGCUGAGGGCUUCUGACAGGCUACCACUGCGACCUCGCGGAGCAUGUCUCCCCUAUCCUUUGGGCGAAAUGCUGGACAAGCCCCGCCGAUCGCUCUCCACUAGCCAGAUCUGGCCAACUUCAGUGCCUGGCCCCCGUAAAGAAGAUCAGAGCAAGAACCUCUGCAUUUGUUGGUAGCUGCCAAAGAGUAAGAACCUCUGUGGGGUACUGCAUUGCUGCUGCUGCCACAAACCCAAGGAGAAAGACCCAGAAAGACCAAGGUGAUUUCCACAUGGGAGAUAUGGGGACUAAGACAGUAGGGUAAGAGGAGAAGCACUGUCUCCUCCUUAGGGAUAGAUCUGAGAGCCAGCCAAUGAGACUGAAAGGAUCCAUGAGAUGCAAGUCCAAUCCUCUCUGAGAUGCUGCUCACAAGCCAAGUGACCAGAGUCCAGAGUCCACAGCUGGGUCCUGGGCCCCUUCAAACUACCUCACAGGGUUGUUGUGAGGAUGUCACGAGAUCAUGUGCCCAACACAGUAAAGAGCUCAAUAAAUGUCUCUUGAACAGAUCCAUACAUGUGAUGGUGCUUUGCAAACUAUAAAGCUCCAUGCCAAGUGGUAGAGAGAGUCAGGACACUGUUUUGCAGUCACAUAAAGGAAGUGAUUUUUGCCACUCAUUCUCACCCCUCACUUAAGACUGGGGCAUGGGAAGGAAAUGGAGAGGAGGGAGAAGUUUGAAAUAGGAAAUAAAGGAAUAAGAGAACAACAAAUAAAAGAAGAACCUAAAGGCAGAUUAUUCUCCAGGGACCAACUUGUAUUUGAGAGUGGCAAUGAGGAUACAGACAGGAGGGACUUAGAACUCUUUCUAGGGACAGAAGAACAGAGUUCAAAUGGAUCUUAGAUAUUUACUUCAAGGCCCCAGCUCCUGUUUGCAACACCUCCAAUGAUGGGUAACUGUUUUCUCCCUGAGGCAGCUGGUUCUAAUUAUAACCAGUUCUAAUGGUUAGAAAGUACUU